rnacentral:lncRNA from 1 species
CUACACAAAUCUUAUAUCAAAACAUUCAGCUAUCCCUGCUGCCACUAAAAAUGUCCAUGGCUAAGCCAUAGUCCUGAUAGUUUUCACAAUAUGACCAUUUGUUUGCAACUCACGCCGUCCAUUGACAUUCAUUGAAACUCCACUCUAGCCACCUCAAAUUUGAAGGGCAAUUUCUAAACUGCGACUGUGCCUUCAUUUUUAAUAUGUCAGAGACAUACUAUGCAUCAAAAUGUAGGUCU